GACGAACGCUGGAGGCGUGCUUAACACAUGCAAGUCGAACGAUGAAAUGGAGCUUGCUCCAUGGAUUAGUGGCGAACGGGUGAGUAACACGUGAAUAACCUGCCCUUAAUUUUGGAAUAACCCAGGGAAACCUGGGCUAAUACCGGAUAAGUAAACCUGUGGCAUCACAUGGUUUUGGAAAGUUUUUCGAUUAAGGAUGGAUUCGCGGCCUAUCAGCUUGUUGGUGAGGUAAUGGCUCACCAAGGCGACGACGGGUAGCCGGCCUGAGAGGGUAAACGGCCACACUGGGACUGAGACACGGCCCAGACUCCUACGGGAGGCAGCAGUGGGGAAUAUUGCGCAAUGGACGAAAGUCUGACGCAGCGACGCCUCGUGAGGGACGAAGGUCUUCGGAUUGUAAACCUCUUUCAGCAGGGACGAAGCGAAAGUGACGGUACCUGCAGAAGAAGCACCGGCUAACUAUGUGCCAGCAGCCGCCGUAA
rnacentral:rRNA from 1 species